rnacentral:rRNA from 1 species
GACGAACGCUGGCGGCGUGCCUAACACAUGCAAGUCGAGCGAUGAAGCUCCUCCGGGAGUGGAUUAGCGGCGGACGGGUGAGUAACACGUGGGUAACCUGCCUCAUAGAGAGGGAUAGCCUUCCGAAAGGAAGAUUAAUACCUCAUAAGAUUGUAGUUUCGCAUGAAACGGCAAUAAAAGGAGCAAUCCGCUAUGAGAUGGACCCGCGUCGCAUUAGCUAGUUGGUAAGGUAAUGGCUUACCAAGGCGACGAUGCGUAGCUGACCUGAGAGGGUGAUCGGCCACAUUGGGACUGAGACACGGCCCAGACUCCUACGGGAGGCAGCAGUGGGGAAUAUUGCACAAUGGGGGAAACCCUGAUGCAGCAACGCCGCGUGAGUGAUGACGGUCUUCGGAUUGUAAAACUCUGUCUUUGGGGACGAUAAUGACGGUACCCAAGGAGGAAGCCACGGCUAACUACGUGCCAGCCGCCGCCGUAAGAC